GAACGAGGAGUCGGUCUAAGUGUCUGAUGGUGGCUGAGCUGCAACUGCUUCAACAUUGCUCAUCUCAAGGUUGGAGUGCAAUGGUGUGGUCUCCACUCUCUGCAACAUCCGCCUCCCAGGUUCAAGCGAUUCUCCUGCCUCAGCCUCCCAAGUAGCUGGGAUUACAGGUGGGUGUCACCGUGCUCAGCUAUUUUUUGUAUUUUUAGUGGAGAUGGGGUUUCACCAUAUUGGCUGCGCUGGCCAACUCCUGACCUCG
rnacentral:lncRNA from 1 species